CAGCCGCCACGGUAAUACGAAGGGGGCUAGCGUUGCUCGGAAUGACUGGGCGUAAAGGGCGCGUAGGCGGCGAUCAAAGUCAGGCGUGAAAUUCCUGGGCUCAACCUGGGGGCUGCGCUUGAUACUUGGUUGCUUGAGUGAGGAAGAGGGUCGUGGAAUUCCCAGUGUAGAGGUGAAAUUCGUAGAUACUGGGAAGAACACCGGUGGCGAAGGCGGCGACCUGGUCCUUUACUGACGCUGAGGCGCGAAAGCGUGGGGAGCAAACAGGAUUAGAUACCCCGGUAGUCCCUGUCUCUUAUAC
rnacentral:rRNA from 1 species